rnacentral:misc_RNA from 1 species
CUACUCUAAUGUCAAACUUGACUAAAGGUAGUUGAUGAAUCUUUUUGCUGCUAGAUGUGGUGCAAGAUGGCACUGGGGCUUUUGUUAAUGGGUUAUUUGUAGAUUUGUGUUAGUCGAUUUUUUAUUAGUACCCAACGUUGUUGUGAAACCCGUUCCCUGAUUAUUGUGUGGUAUUGAGUAGGUUGCUCUGGCAAAUCAGGUGUCCUCU